rnacentral:lncRNA from 1 species
AUGUACCCAGGCUGUAACCUGCAGGAUUUUCCCACCUGGACCCCAGAUUAUAGGCUGAGACCUGGCUCCAAGCAAGGACCCAGCUCCCCUCAGGGUGUCUCUGCUGGGAGCUCCCUUGUGGCAUCUCAGGGGCUUCCAGGUCACCUCCCGGAGAACUCUCACCGGGAGGAGCAGAGAGUAUUUUUAGCACCUCUCAGCAUCCGUCCGCAGCUGCAAGCAGGGAGAGCAGCCAACAUCCUGCAAACAGCUCCACUCCACUGCUCCGCACAGCUGGAUGGGGCUGUCCGACCCCUCCAUCCCUACUAUCCCUGUCCCCAGGCUGGGGAUCGUUGCCCAUCCCAUAGGGGACCCCCAUACUUAGGGGCACCAAUUUGGAGGUCACUGUCCAUCCCACAGAGAGCCCCAGCUCUGCCCAGGGCUGAUAUGACACAUCCUGGUGUGACCAUGGUGGUUGCAGCCCAAUGGGUGAAGCCACGCUAUAGUGCUUCAACUCAUCCCAAAAACCUCACUGUGUUGCUGAGGAUGGGGAGGAACACGUGGCCAUGGUGGUGGUUUUCUCCACGCGGACAUGUGGCUGCACCUUGUCCGCUGUGCAGCCAGCAUGGUUGGGCCAUUGGGAUGGACAUCGGGAUGUCACAGCAAGGAUGUCACCAACCCCUUGCUGUCCUCGUGCCAUGCCCCGGCCAUUCCUGGCUCAAUGGCCCCAGCAGUGGGGUGGCUCACACUCGCCACCCCCGCCCGUCUCCACCAGCACCGUCUUUAAUAAGAAGCGUGGAAUAUUUUAGCACCUAUGGAAAAGCCACCACAGACGGUGGUGGCAGCCGUUGCCAGGGAGACGGUCCCAAAAAUAGCCCCACUCCGCCAACCUUUCCCAGUGCUGCUGUGGGGAUGGGGGGAGACAGAGAGAUGGAGGGAUGGGAGGGUGGGGAGAAGGGAUGGAGGGAUGGAAGAACGGAGGGAGGGAAGAAUAGAGAGAGAGUUCAUGGAUGGAUGGAUGGAUAA